rnacentral:lncRNA from 1 species
UCCCUCAAACUCUAUUUCAGUCUCUUUCUGUUCUAAUUAUCUAUCUUCUUGUUAGGAUCUCAUCUAGUUCCUAACAAAUUGGUAUCAGAGCUGUUCGACAGCCUGAAACCCUUUUAUUCUUCACUCCGAACUCUAUUUUUGGGAUAUCUAGGUUACUAGCUGGAGUCCUCAAUUGGAGGAAUUGUUAUUGGUUUCUUUUGGGUAAUCAUCUGCAAGUAUUACCCAGCAGAAAUAGUUGGUAUUGAUAAGGACUAAUCACCAGUCCCUCAAAUAUUUCUUAGAACAAAAGGUAGUCUCAUAGUUGCAACAAAGAUGGUUGAGUAAGCUACACGGAUAUAACGAGUGGCAAAACCAGAAAUAAUUUUCAGUGGGAUCAAAAUUAGUACUAAGCUAUAAAUAAUUUGGCGGGGGUUCGGG